UUCAUGCAGCAAGUCUUAUGUUUUCUAUGAUGAUCAAGCAGUAGGUCUAGAAUUUUCUAUUUAAGUAUGUCAAGUCUGUACCAAAAGUUUCAAUCAUCAUUUUUAUAAAACUAUUUCUUCUUUAAUUUGAUGAUUCAUUGUUCUUAUGAACAACCUGAUUGUGGAGGUGUGUAAACCCAAAGCAAAUCAGCAAUCUCUCCUGUUGGCUAGUGUGUCAUAUCCAGAACAAGAGAGUGGUUAAUCGAGUUUGGCAAGGCCACGAGGACACAAGUCACAAGUUGUGAGGAGGUGAAGGACAAUGGAAGGGCAAGAAGCCAAGAAGAACUCUCCAGGAGCAGAGUUGUUGCCAAGGCAGUGUCGUUUCAGAGAUAGAAAGGAAGGCAAUAAUGGCAACUCCAUAGCCGCGAGGGGAUUCUCGGGGAUGAUGCUACAGAGUUGUAGCGUAGUAGAAGGGCUAACAAUACUAUUUGAUGUUGUAGUAUCCAUUGGAGCUUGAGUUUGAUCAGAAUAUUGAGCAAGAAAAGUGAAGUAUAAGCCUUCGACGAAAAUUAGAAGAAGCUGCAACUACCGUUGUCCCAACCACCUACAUUUAUUGCUUGUCUGUUUUAUGUUUUCUAUGCUGUUCAUGCAGUAAGUCUUAUGUUUUCUAUUAUGAUCAAGCAGUAGGUCUAGAAUUUUCUAUUUAAGUAUGUCAAGUCUGUACCAAAAGUUUCAAUCAUCAUUUUUAUAAAACUAUUUCUUCUUUAAUUUGAUGAUUCAUUGUUCUUAUGAACAACCUGAUUGUGGAGGUGUGUAAACCCAAAGCAAAUCAGCAAUCUCUCCUGUUGGCUAGUGUGUCAUAUCCAGAACAAGAGAGUGGUUAAUCGAGUUUGGCAAGGCCACGAGGACACAAGUCACAAGUUGUGAGGAGGUGAAGGACAAUGGAAGGGCAAGAAGCCAAGAAGAACUCUCCAGGAGCAGAGUUGUUGCCAAGGCAGUGUCGUUUCAGAGAUAGAAAGGAAGGCAAUGGCAACUCCAUAGCCGCGAAGGGAUUC
rnacentral:lncRNA from 1 species